ACGAGGAUCUAUUGGAGGGCAAGUCUGGUGCCAGCAGCCGCGGUAAUUCCAGCUCCAAUAGCGUAUAUUAAAGUUGUUGCAGUUAAAAAGCUCGUAGUUGGAUCUCGGGCACUAGCAUGUGGUACACUUAAUUGUUGUCACUACUUGUCUAGUCCUAAUCAAUCGGUUUGCCAGUUUAUGCCCUUCACUGGGUGUCUUCUGUGGCCGGUACGUUUACUUUGAGAAAAUUAGAGUGCUUAAAGCAGGCAUAUGCCUGAAUAAUGUUGCAUGGAAUAAUAGAAUAGGACCUCGGUUCUAUUUUGUUGGUUUUGUAGAGCAUUGAGGUAAUGAUUAAUAGGGACAGACGGGGGCAUUCGUAUUGCAGUGUUAGAGGUGAAAUUCUUGGGUCGCUGCAAGACGAACAACUGCGAAAGCAUUUGCCAAGAAUGUUUUCAUUAAUCAAGAACGAAAGUUGGAGGUUCGAAGACGAUUAGAUACCGUCCUAGUUCCAACCAUAAACGAUGCCAUCUAGCAAUUAUCUGAUGUUAAUUAAACGACACAGGUAGCGGCUUCCGGGAAACCAAAGAUUUUGGGUUCCGGGGGAAGUAUGGUUGCAAAGCUGAAACUUAAAGGAAUUGACGGAAGGGCACCACCAGGAGUGGAGCCUGCGGCUUAAUUUGACCCAACACGGGAAAUCUCACCCGGCCCGGACGCUGUAAGGAUUGACAGAUUGAGAGCUCUUUCUUGAUUCGGUGGGUGGUGGUGCAUGGCCGUUCUUAGUUGGUGGAGCGAUUUGUCUGGUUAAUUCCGAUAACGAACGAGACUCUAGCCUGCUAAAUAGUACGCCGAUCUCUAUGUCGGCGCGUACUUCUUAGAGGGACAAGUAGCGGAUAGCUACACGAAAUUGAGCAAUAACAGGUCUGUGAUGCCCUUAGAUGUUCGGGGCCGCACGCGCGCUACACUGAAAGGAUAAGUGUGUUCUCCUGCUCUGAAAAGAGUGGGUAAUCCGCUGAAACCCUUUCGUGAUUGGGAUCGGGGCUUGCAAUUUUUCUCCGUGAACGAGGAAUUCCCAGUAAGCGUGAGUCAUCAGCUCGCGUUGAUUACGUCCCUGCCCUUUGUACACACCGCCCGUCGCUACUACCGAUUGAAUGGUUUAGUGAGAUCUUCGGAUUGGUCCGGUAGUGGCCGCAAGGUUGCCUCCAGGUUCUAAAAAGAUGCUCAAACUUGA
rnacentral:rRNA from 1 species